GAUGAACGCUGGCGGCGUGCCUAAUACAUGCAAGUCGAGCGAACAGACGAGGAGCUUGCUCCUCUGACGUUAGCGGCGGACGGGUGAGUAACACGUGGAUAACCUACCUAUAAGACUGGGAUAACUUCGGGAAACCGGAGCUAAUACCGGAUAAUAUAUUGAACCGCAUGGUUCAAUAGUGAAAGACGGUUUUGCUGUCACUUAUAGAUGGAUCCGCGCCGCAUUAGCUAGUUGGUAAGGUAACGGCUUACCAAGGCGACGAUGCGUAGCCGACCUGAGAGGGUGAACGGCCACACUGGAACUGAGACACGGUCCAGACUCCUACGGGAGGCAGCAGUAGGGAAUCUUCCGCAAUGGGCGAAAGCCUGACGGAGCAACUCCGCGUGAGUGAUGAAGGUCUUCGGAUCGUAAAACUCUGUUAUUAGGGAAGAACAAAUGUGUAAGUAACUAUGCACGUCUUGACGGUACCUAAUCAGAAAGCCACGGCUAACUACGUG
rnacentral:rRNA from 1 species